UUACUUCCUUCUUCAUUGUUUCUUCUCCGGUUGAUAAUCAGUUCUCCCACUGAUCAAAAUAAUUCCAUACAAGUUAUGAUUACUCCUAACUGAAAGUUAAAGCUCUAUCAGCAACGAAGGUAACCAUAAUCAUCUCAACUCUUUUAUAUGUCUUAUCUUUGUGAAACUACAUACAUUUAUUUCAUCCGAUAUAAACAGAAAUGAAAAGGAAAGAAGAAAAAGUCAAACGAAAGAAUCCAGCAAACAUAAAACACAAGCAGAACCGUAAACAAGUGGUAUUCUAUCUUUAGUUAUUCUCCGGCUCUCUCUCUCUCUCUC
rnacentral:lncRNA from 1 species